CUGAAAACCAAUUCGGAUUUGGGUCGGGAUACUCUACUGUACAAGCAGUAACACUUAUUACUGAUAAAAUCCAAAAAGCAGUCGAAAAUAAACAAUACUCUUGUGGAAUAUUUUUAGAUUUAAGUAAGGCCUUCGACACUGUAAAUCAUGAUAUACUGAUUACAAAACUAGAGCACUACGGAAUUCGGGGCAUAGCUAAAGAUUGGUUUAAAUCAUAUUUGUUAAAUAGAAAGCAGUAUGUUUCAAUAAGGGGUAUUAGUUCAGAUGAAUUGCAUGUUUCCUGUGGAGUGCCUCAAGGUUCUGUUUUAGGACCGUUAUUAUUCCUUUUAUAUAUUAAUGACUUUGAAAAUUGCUCUGACCUUUUUUACUUUCAUAUGUUUGCUGAUGAUGCAAAUCUAUUUUUUUCGCAUGAUAGUAUAUUGAGGCUGGAGGAGCUGAUAAAUCACAAUUUGAUUAAGGUACAUUCUUGGCUGUCUGCAAAUAAACUAUGUUUGAAUACUGAUAAAACAAAUUACGUUAUAUUCCGUACGCCUCAAAAAGUAAUUACCCAUGAUCUUAAACUUCAUAUCAAUUGUGACUCCAUUAAACAAACAAGCUAUGUUAAAUACCUAGGUAUCUAUAUUGACUGCCAUUUAAAUUGGAAAACUCAAAUUCAUAAUAUAUCAAAAAAAAUUCAGAGAAGCAUUGGCAUUCUUUCAAAAUUACGAUAUUAUGUUACAUUUAACAUUCUUCUUCAGCUUUAUUAUUCUUUGAUAUACCCCUUUCUUACCUAUGGGACCAUAGUUUGGGGAAACCCCUACGAAUUUUCCUUGAAAUCAUUAGUGCUCUUACAGAAACGAGUAGUACGUAUAAUCACUUUCUCAAGAUAUGAUGAACAUACUAGUCCUUUAUUUAAAAAUCUCGGUCUUUUAAAGCUCUUUGAUAUAAUAAAGAUGUCCAACUUAUUAUUUAUGCACGAUUUCUAUACAAAUAGACUCCCUACUGUCUGUAACGAUUUUUUCUUUUUCAUUAGUGAUAAACACAAGUACAGUACUAGACUAGCAACAACAGUUAGUUAUUGUAUACCAAUUGUAAGAACAAAUUACGGUAAAUUUUCUAUCCGAUCACAGGGACCCUAUAUUUGGAAUGAUAUAGAUGAUAGCUUGAAAAUACUAACUAAAUCAGUCUUCAAAAAAAAAAUUAAAAUCAAAUUUAAUUAAUGACUACUAGCUUUAUCUUUAUUCUUAUUUCUGUUUUUCAUUUGCUUUCAAAUUAGUUAAAUCAAAUUUAUAAUUAAUGAUUACUGGCUUUAUGCCUGCUUUUGUUUUUUCAUAUGUCUAUAAAUUUUAAUUUGCAUCUGUAUAAUCAUUGUGCAUCAUGACCUUAAACCCAAUGUUGACCCACAGUGGCUCGAACACUUUAAUAAGGUUAUCUGACUUCGAUUAGUGUUAAAGCUAUUUCAGAUAUCCUGUGCCAACUCUGUCUUAAUAAUGUGUGGAAAAAAUUUGUAAUUAUGUAUUUUUGACUGGUGCGAAUAAAUUCUUCUUCUUCUUCUUCUAGUUCUGGUGUGGAUUUUGCUACGUAGAGGAUCCAAGUUCACAUUAUUUUCCGAACUCCUAAACUCUCCUUUCUUCUCCUCUGCAAAUUGUAUAUACCCCCUCCCCUUUAAAAAACCCUGCUGAAGAAGAAUGUUAGGUCGAAACGCGUGUAGGGUUGCCUUUCCUACUCAAUUUCAAUUUCUCACUCUUAUAUCCUCACCUUUUAUGGAGUCCCAUAAAAAUUUCACCUACUUUAGUUUCUAUAUAUAAUCGUAGUUUCCCUAGAUUUUUUACGUGCAUGUUCAUCAUAGGAGUCGGAGUAACGAAAUGAAGAACCACCAUUUUUUGAAUACUGGUCCUCUCAUUAUUUAGGCUACACAAUGUCUUACACCAGUACUUGUCAUUGUACCUAUUAUAGACCAAAAAAUGUAAAAACUAAAAACUAAAAAAUGUAUAUACAUGCAUACAAAAAAAUAUCGUGCAAGUCCUCUGACUGACAAAAAAAAAUCGAACAGUGUCAGGAAGCUGAAAAAAAAUAUCGAGCAAACUGAAAAUCUACCCACCCCACCAUCAAAAAUCAAAUGGUCCGUCCCUAAGCGAUAGAGGCAACCUCAAUGUACGCAGAAAUAAGAGACAAAAGAAAGCUGAAAAUGUUUACAACUUUCACAUCCUGACAGUAGUAAUGAGAAGCGUUUCCAUGACAGCCACACAAGUUCUUCAAAAAGCAAACGCACUGCAUAACAGCUCCGCAACAGCAACAGCAAGUCAAGCCAUAAUCCAUCGAAUCCCAGCAGUCUCUUGCGCCAAUGUUGUCGGAUGCAUUCCGACCUGAAUCACAUUCACCACCCCCUCCAGCACAAAAAAAUUAAGCUCAGGCAAGAGAACUCUUGAGACGUUGAUUUUCCCAAUAUCGGGUGGUUGGACUUUGCGAAGAGCGUUGUAUAAACGAUUCAGAGAAAACAAGUUAAACGCGGUACCGCACAGGCAUGUCAACGUCAGUAUAGUAUGUCGAUCACGAUUUGAAUCCUUCAAAGCCUUCAAAUGGUAGCGGCAGUAGCAGUCACAGCCAAUAUCAAAUAAACGGUAAACAAUCAACAAAAAAGACCAACAUUUAAGCAGUCGUUCGACCAUGAUGAAUUAAUGGUUUACCAAACAGAAUACGAGGAGCGCCACUAUUGUCAAU